GAUUGAUGGCAGACGGUCGCUGGUGAGUCGUAAGAUUCGCCAGAGGAAAGUCCGAACACCAUACGGCAGCAUGCCGCGUAGAAUACGCGGGCGGCGUUCUCGAAAGCGACGCUGACGGAAAGUGUCACAGAGAAGAUACCGCCGGUUCUUUGAGAAAAGCGCAGGCAAGGGUGAAAAGGCGAGGUAAGAGCUCACCGCGUCCCGCGUAAGCGGGAUGGCAGGAAAAACCCCAUGCGGUGCAAGACAAAACAGGAGGAGGACAGCCGGUCCGCCAAUGCCUCGAAGAAAUUCGGGGCCGAUCUCCGGGUAUCGUCGCACCACGCUGUGUGAAAACGCAGUGGGCGUCGAAGAAAAUCGAUGAGAUAAAUGAUCGUCCUGGCUGAGAAAUCAGCCGGACAGAAUUCGGCUUACCGCCAUCAAUUAUGA
rnacentral:RNase_P_RNA from 1 species